UUCCGGUUGAUCCUGCCGGACCUGACUGCUAUCGGAUUGAUACUAAGCCAUGCGAGUCAUUGUAGCAAUACAAGGCAGACGGCUCAGUAACGCGUAGUCAACCUACCCUAUGGACGGGAAUAAUCUCGGGAAACUGAGAAUAAUGCCCGAUAGAACAUUAUGCCUGGAAUGGUUUAUGUUCCAAAUGAUUUAUCGCCGUAGGAUGGGACUGCGGCCUAUCAGUUUGUUGGUGAGGUAAUGGCCCACCAAGACUAUUACAGGUACGGGCUCUGAGAGGAGUAGCCCGGAGAUGGGUACUGAGACACGGACCCAGGCCCUAUGGGGCGCAGCAGGCGAGAAAACUUUGCAAUGUGCGAAAGCACGACAAGGUUAAUCCGAGUGGUUUCUGCUAAAGGAACCUUUUGUCAGUCCUAGAAACACUGAUGAAUAAGGGGUGGGCAAGUUCUGGUGUCAGCCGCCGCGGUAAAAUCAC
rnacentral:rRNA from 1 species